UCUCACAUCCCUAAAAUUGUUCUUUACUGUUCUGGCAUCAAUUCAACGGACUACAAAUACUUAUCAAUUAUCUUUUUCCUUCAUCUAAAAUUGUUGUUUAAAAUGAAAUUUUCCCUUCUUUUUUCAUUUUGAUUUAUAAGUGUUUUGAAAGUUCCGGAAUUAAGCAUUUUAGAUUGAAAUCAAGGAUUUUUCUUGUAUGUGCAUCUAGUUCAAGGAAAAGAUGAUAAUUGAUUUACAUUUGGGAUUGCAGGUCCAUGGGAGUUUGUGAGGUACUGUCUAAUUCAACUUUUGUUAUGCCUUUACAUUGAAUGAAAUUAUUUAUGAUAUAAGUUAUUUAAAUGCCAGUUGUGCAUGAGAACCUUCGUCUACUCAUUUGGUUUUUAACUUUUGUUAACCUUCUUAUUAUAUUAUUAGUAUCUCUAAACUCGUCACUUUUAUUUUGAUAUAGUUCUAUAUCUGAUAUUAGAACCUCUGUCCUUCUAUUACUCAAUACUCUUUUGUCUUGUUUUUACUUGUGAAAAGCUUUAGC
rnacentral:misc_RNA from 1 species